AAAUUGAAGAGUUUGAUCAUGGCUCAGAUUGAACGCUGGCGGCAGGCCUAACACAUGCAAGUCGAGCGGAAACGACACUAACAAUCCUUCGGGUGCGUUAAUGGGCGUCGAGCGGCGGACGGGUGAGUAAUGCCUAGGAAAUUGCCUUGAUGUGGGGGAUAACCAUUGGAAACGAUGGCUAAUACCGCAUAAUGC
rnacentral:rRNA from 1 species